ACCUUGACCUGUUCCAACAAGAAAUCUGUCAUCUUAUGCUUUGGAAUCAGAGGACCUAUGUUCAAAUCCAGACUAUCUUAAUACUAAUGAGCCUUUGAUCAAAAUAGUAAGGCAUCCUAUAACCUCUUUGGGACUCAGUUUCAUCACUUUUAAAAUUAAAAAAUUGAAGAUUAUCUAUAAGGCCUUUUAUAGCACCCCCAAAUCCCAAAUGAUCAUGAGGAUUACAUCUAUUUGUAAAGCAUUUAGCACUGUGAUGUUUAAUAAAUAUUUUUUCCUUCCUCCAUUCCUCUCUCUUUUUCCCUCCCCUCCCUCCCUUCCUUCCAAUUGCAUAAUUCCGUAUAUCUAUGAUAGUAUCCAUUCCCAAUGAUAAUAGAAGCCUUUCAGUUAACAGAUGGGAAGCAAAGCAGAAUUUUGAAAUCUCCCUGCUGUUGUUAUAGUCAUCUCACCCUGGAGUACAGAGGAGGAGGAAGGAGUAUGUCUGAGCUCAGAAGUUCCUUUGAAAAAGAGGGCACAUUUGUCUACAAACCAAAUGGCUUCAAUGUAGGGGAUGGUGUUUCCCAUUUCUGCUCACAAGAAUGAGAACUGGAGGCUGAUGGGAAGGAGAGACCCCUAUGAAUAGGAGAAGGGUCUGGGACUGAAGCUGGAGAUCAUUAUUUCUUUAUAACCAAAUAUCUCAGGAGUGCCUGGUAAAAGAAUUAAAAAUAUGAAGGAAAUAGAUAUUUUUUCCAUUUCUGACUAACUCUCAAAAAACCCCCAACAAACCUUAGAAGAGAAAUUAUGUGCCAGAUGUGGAACAAUCACAGUAAAUGCCACAGGACUGAAAAUAAAGAGAAAGCCAACAAAAUAGAAGCCUAAUGAAUUAAUACUAAGGAAGAUUAUGCCUCUUUUUAAAAAAAGUUAAUUUGUUUUUUUGGAUAACAAGCAUUUUAGUUUUCCCUCUCCAACUAUUGUCUCUAAUAAGUAAGAAAAAGAAAAUUCUUAUAAACAAUAAACAGUCAAGCAAAAUAAAUUUCCACAAUUGUCAUGUCCAAA